rnacentral:tmRNA from 1 species
GGGGGUGUAUGGUUUUGACAGCGUAGAUCUUUGAAAGUGUAAGCAUGCCGGGCGUUGCGUAAUUAGCCCGUUAAUCUGAAUACGCAAACUACAAAUGGCAAUACACAGUAUGCCAUGGCUGCCUAAUCAGUGAUUAAGUAGUCAUUAGGGCCGCCUGAGCAGGUUGGUCUGUUACCAGCUCCGCCGCCGACUAAAAACAAACACAGAAUGCUGCAACCAAAGGCUGUGAUGGUUGCUUAAGCCUAUCCAGCUAAGUGUUGAAUUGGUUUGCUCAUUUCCGGUUCAAUGCCGACAAAUAAUAAUGAAAUAAGCAUGUAGAAAGCUUUUGAAGAAUAUGUUUGGACACCGGUUCGAAUCCGGUCACCUCCAC